GCCGCCGUAAGGUGUGAGGAAGGUGGGGAUGACGUCAAAUCAGCACGGCCCUUACGUCCGGGGCGACACACGUGUUACAAUGGGGGGUACAGAGGGUUGCUACCUGGUGACAGGAUGCUAAUCUCAUAAAUCCUCUCUCAGUUCGGAUCGAAGUCUGCAACUCGACUUCGUGAAGCUGGAUUCGCUAGUAAUCGCGCAUCAGCCAUGGCGCGGUGAAUACGUUCCCGGGCCUU
rnacentral:rRNA from 1 species